UUGUACCCAAAAAAAUAAUAUUGCCAUGGAAGUCUUGUCCUUCUCUGCCCUCUAUGCAGCUACGCUCACCGCCACAAGCCCUAAAUGGAGCGCGUUCAGGUGUUCAGGCAAAUAAGAAACCACACCGGCGAUUAGUUAAACCCACCCUAUGGUGAGCAGACCAACUCGCUUUCCGUUAAUACUUAAUACGCUACCUAAUUACACCUCUACCCCCUAUCUCUCAUAAAAUUACGAAAUUGCCCUGCAUCUAGCUUCGUGCCUGCGGCCAUGCCGCUCUUCCCGGCCGGCAUUCACUUCGUCUUCCUUCUUUAGCCUUCGCCCUCUACCCCCUCACCCUUGGAAGCCCUAACCCUAACCCUAAAUCUGGAAGAGGAGAAGAAACCUUAACCCUAGUGUAGGAGGAGAAGCGGCGGAGAUGGCACCGGGGGUCUUCACGACGGGGGACGCGGUGGAGGUGAGCUCGGAUGAGGACGGAUUCCGGGACGCGUGGUUCGAGGCGAAGGUGGCGCGGUACAUGCCCAAGCUCCACCGCUGCACCGUCGUCUACGACGCCAUCAUGGAUGACGCCGACGACUCCCGGUCGCUCCGGGAGACCGUCGACGGCCGCCUUGUCCGCCCCCGACCCCCGUUCCGGCCCCCCGCCGGCGGCCGCUUUGCGCUCCACCAGCCCGUAGACGCCUUCUACAACGACGGGUGGUGGGUUGGGGUGGUGUCGCGGGUGGCGGGGAAGGGGCGGCAGCGGAGGUACUCCGUCGCCUUCCCUUCCACGCGGGAAGAGAUGGAGUUCGCGGCGUCGGAGCUUCGGACUCAUCUCGAGUGGGUCGAUGGGGAGUGGGUCCUACCAGAAUGGAAGGGAACACCAGAGAAGGUAUAUGAGACCGGAACACAAGUAGAAAUUGCCCGUGUGAAAGGAAAUACCCCUAUUGCUUGGCUAUCUGCAGUUGUUGUUCAGGCAAUCUGGAAGAGCAGUUUCUUGGUGGAGUAUAAACACUUUAGGAAUCUUGAUGACACAGAGUUGCUGAGAGAAAUUGUUGAUGUGAAACACAUCAGGCCUUGCCCUCCCCAUGCAUCAAAGGCCAAAUUCGAUUUGCUUGAUGAGGUUGAAGCAUUCUAUGGCAAUGGAUGGUUGCCAGGGGUGGUGGCUAAGAUUCAUACAAGUUCAAAAUACAGAGUUAAGAUUGCUCAUUGGGGCGAGGAAAGAGAAUUUAGUCAUGCAGAGCUGAGGCUUCGUUAUGACCUAGUUAAUGGACAAUGGGUCAAAGCUUCACAGAACAAAUCGGACAUGGAGAUGAGAGAAGGUACCAUGGUGGAGGUUAGCAGUGAUGAUGAAGGCUUUCGUGGAGCUUGGUACACUGCAACAAUCGUCAAGUUAAUUAGGAAGAAGAAGUUCCUUGUAGAGUACCAAAACCUUAGAACAGAUGAUGAAACUAAGCCUUUGACAGAAAUUGUGGAUUUUCAGCAUAUCAGACCCAGUCCUCCUGAAACUCCAGUGGUAGAACAGUUCAAAUUGCUUGAAGAAGUUGAUGCCUUCUACAAUGAUGGAUGGUGGGUAGGGGUGAUCUCAAAGGUUCUGAAAAGUCAGAGAUACAUGGUUUACUUCAAGCCAUGGAGUGAAGAAAUGGAAUUUGGGCACAAAGAGUUGAGGCUUCACCAUGACUGGAUUGGUGGAAGAUGGCUACGGUCUUCUGAGGAAGUAUCUUAAAUGGGGAAAAAACAAUUUGGAUAUUAAAUCCCUAGCAACAGAAGGAAUUCUGUAGGCACUGAAGUUGUAAAUUUAGAAGGUUAUGCCGAAGGACGCCAACAUUUUGCAACUCCUGGAGUAACUUUGAGAUUAUAAGGCAAAAGAAAUUGCCCCAGAUGAAGUAAAGUUGUAUAGGAGUUUAUUCUGUGUGAAUUACAGGUUUCAAAGAGGUUGGGUGUACAACAGUUGCGGCAUGCAGGCUGUGAAGCCACAGCUGAUUGGCCACAAUCCUAAACACAAGUACAAAAUAGAUAUCCCAGAGAUUUUUCUUAUGCCAUCUAGCGGUCCUUAAGCGGGCUGGGUUUUAAUUAUCCUCCUCUUGCUUCCCCAAAAUGUGUAUUCAUAUAAUUUUAAGUUCCUCCACAUGAUCUUUUUCUCUUCAUAGGAUUAACUGCUAUAGUUUCAGUGGUUGUAUGACUCUGCUUGGUAGUUUGUUCAUAGGACGCGCUAAAAAUGCUCGUCUGUGUACAGAAUGGAAAUAUGCUGAACAGGUGCAAUUUGUCUC